rnacentral:rRNA from 1 species
AUUGAACGCUGGCGGCAGGCCUAACACAUGCAAGUCGAGCGGAUGACGGGAGCUUGCUCCUUGAUUCAGCGGCGGACGGGUGAGUAAUGCCUAGGAAUCUGCCUGGUAGGGGGGGACAACGUUUCGAAAGGAACGCUAAUACCGCAUACGUCCUACGGGAGACAGCAGGGGACCUUCGGGGCUUAGGCUAUCAGAUGAGCCUAGGUCGGAUUAGCUUGUUGGUGAGGUAAUGGCUCACCAAGGCGACGAUCCGUAACUGGUCUGAGAGGAUGAUCAGUCACACUGGAACUGAGACACGGUCCAGACUCCUACGGGAGGCAGCAGUGGGGAAUAUUGGACAAUGGGCGAAAGCCUGAUCCAGCCAUGCCGCGUGUGUGAAGAAGGCCUUCGGGUUGUAAAGCACUUUCAGCGAGGAGGAAGGGGUGUGUGUUAAUAGUACACACCUUUGACGUUACUCGCAGAAGAAGUACCGGCUAACUCUGUGCCAGCAGCCGCCGCCGUAA